rnacentral:rRNA from 1 species
CAGCAGCCGCGGUAAUACGAAGGGUGCAAGCGUUAAUCGGAAUUACUGGGCGUAAAGCGUGCGUAGGCGGUUUGUUAAGUCUGCUGUGAAAUCCCCGGGCUCAACCUGGGAAUGGCAGUGGAUACUGGCAAGCUAGAGUGUGUCAGAGGAUGGUGGAAUUCCCGGUGUAGCGGUGAAAUGCGUAGAGAUCGGGAGGAACAUCAGUGGCGAAGGCGGCCAUCUGGGACAACACUGACGCUGAGGCACGAAAGCGUGGGGAGCAAACAGGAUUAGAGACCCCUGUAGUCCCUGUCUCUUAUAC